GACGAACGCUGGCGGCGUGCUUAACACAUGCAAGUCGAACGGUGAACGAGGGAGCUUGCUCCCUCCGGAUCAGUGGCGAACGGGUGAGUAACACGUGAGCAAUCUGCCCCGAACUCUGGGAUAAGCGUUGGAAACGACGUCUAAUACCGGAUACGACGCGGGAGGGCAUCCUCUCCGCGUGGAAAGAACUUCGGUUCGGGAUGAGCUCGCGGCCUAUCAGCUUGUUGGUGAGGUAACGGCUCACCAAGGCGACGACGGGUAGCCGGCCUGAGAGGGUGAACGGCCACAAUGGGACUGAGAAACGGCCCAGACUCCUACGGGAGGCAGCAGUGGGGAAUAUUGCACAAUGGGCGCAAGCCUGAUGCAGAAACGCCGCGUGAGGGACGACGGCCUUCGGGUUGUAAACCUCUUUUAGCAGGGAAGAAGCGAAAGUGACGGUACCUGCAGAAAAAGCACCGGCUAACUACGUG
rnacentral:rRNA from 1 species